rnacentral:rRNA from 1 species
UACGUAGGGUGCAAGCGUUAAUCGGAAUUACUGGGCGUAAAGCGUGCGCAGGCGGUUUUGUAAGUCUGUCGUGAAAUCCCCGGGCUCAACCUGGGAAUUGCGAUGGAGACUGCAAGGCUAGAAUCUGGCAGAGGGGGGUAGAAUUCCACGUGUAGCAGUGAAAUGCGUAGAGAUGUGGAGGAACACCGAUGGCGAAGGCAGCCCCCUGGGUCAAGAUUGACGCUCAUGCACGAAAGCGUGGGGAGCAAACG